CCUUCAAGUAAGGUCGACCUUACUUUUAGAAAAUGCGGACUUGUAGUGUGAGCCGUUGGAUCUCAUCCAACGGCUGUGAUUUUAAAAAACCACUCGCGAGUAAAAUGCUACCAUGGGUCGGGUAAAGAUGGUCUCGCGGGUAUACUCUGGGUCAACCAAGCAAAAACCCCCCACAGCUUCCACAAUAUGCUUCCCCUCAAAUUAAACGGAGAGAGAGAGAGAGGCAGCAAACAGCAGCCGAUGACGAUCGAACCCACAUAGCUGUUGACAACGAAGACGACCGACAAACAAAGGUCUCUCUCUCUCUCUCUCUCUCUCUCUCUCUCGAUCGCAACAAGGUCACGAAGACGACCGACGAACAGAUCCACGAAGAUCGUCGAAGAAGAGGAACGACGAAGCCCUGACAGAGGUCUCUCUCUGUUCGAAUCGAUGAACAACAACCCACUCAUCCACGACAGAGGUCUCUCUCUCUCUCUCUCUUGAUUGCAGCAAUGUCUGAUUAGGGUUUUUUCCGUUAACAUCGACUGGAUUUUCUUCGAUUCGUUUUGAACGACGAAGCCCUAACCCGCAAGGUGGGUUGCGUGCUGAUAUUCUGCCUGGAGUGGGUGAUUCUGACUCUUGCAUUCUUACUCAAGCACUAUGCAUAUGUGGAAGGUGGUGAUCUUUCUAAGAGGAGUGCAAAGGUACAGCAAGUGGAGGAGGAGGACAUGAAGAACUGGCCAUGGCCCUUCCAAGUCUGGACAUGAUGGGAACUGAAUUUGUAUUUGUGUUGGCAUUUGUAAGAGCACCGAUGGCGACUUUUUUUGUUUACCUUCCAAUAUGCUUGAAGAAUAUUUGAAUUUUGAAGUAGGUCUUGUUAGAAGUUGGCACAUGUAAGAUUGUUGGAGCAUCUUUAAUGGGUUUGGUUUUUUGAAUUGCCUACUUUUAACCAAAUUCAGACAUCCAUUUGGUUUUUUGUAUACUAUCCUCUCAGCUUUCGGUAAACAGAGUAUACUGGUGAUGGAGAAGUUUCUUGAGUGCCAAUGAACUUUACUGAUCAGCUUGGGCUUGGGGCAGUUAAAACUGAAGCAUUGGACGAGAAGAAAUGAAGUUUAAACCAAUAAGCACAACAAUCUAAUGAUCUAUAAAACUUGGUAUUAGACAAGAUGAUCAAUGAAAAUGAAAGUGGUACCGGCCAAUUUAUCUUAGCAAAAAGAAACCACAACAUUUAUGAUACAGAACAUUGUUUGCGCAAACCAAUCAUUCUGAACUAGGUCUGUACAUGAUCUAUUAGUCCAACAAACCACGUUGGUAACCCCUAAACUUGCUGUCAUGUCUCUGUUUGUUAAAUCAAUCCAUUAACCCACAAUCUCAUCUCAGCUUGGUAGAAGCCGCAAGGCUAUAUACUCAUUCACUCUUAAAACCAGCAUCACAUUUCAAGUUCACUUUAUGCAGUAGUGCACCAUUCCAAGUUAAACCAUGGUGACGCAGUCAUAUUUGGGUGGAGCAAUGCACGAUUCUUUGAUAGAUACACCCAAUCUGGUAUUGAACGAAAUAAAAAGAACAAUCAAUGUUGAACAUGAAGGACUGAAACUGAUAUUUCAAUUUGAUCAAGAGCACUCUCAAUUCCAGUCAUCUCAUUCAACUUUUCACUACUAGUUUGAACAUGAAGGACUGCAACUUUUACAAUUGAAGGGAACGUCAUUGAAAAGCAAACCAAUAACAGGAAAGCUACUGCAUUACAAUUUACACUAAGCUUAACAUCAAGAAAUACAUUAACAAUUUCCUUGGGUAAUCAGACGGACAAGAUUUUACAAAGUAAUCAAAAUUCCAUUCUAUUGUUCUUCACUGAGAACAAUCAACGUUCUUCUAUAUCUACAGUUCAAAUCUGAAUCACCGGAGUAGAAAACAUGGACUUCCUCAACCCCUCAAGCCUAUUCGAAUCCCUUUUUUUGCCAAUUCGACCUUAACACCAAGAGAGAGGAGUUAUCUUCUGUGAUCAGCAAGCUACAAAGAAAAUAACCAUUUUGUUUUUUUAAAACAUACUUCUAAAAUACCCUUUUUCUCGAAAAUCCCUAACUCGAAAAAAAAAAAAAACAGAUUUGAGUUGAUUCGAACAGAGAGAGACCUUUGUUAGGGCUUCGUCGUUCGAGUGGGUUAGGGCUUCGUCGUUCCUCUUCUUCGACGAUCUUCAGAGGCCUCUGUUCGUCAGUCGUCUUAGUCGUCAAUGGCUGUGUGGGUUCGAUCGUCAUCGUCAUUGGCUGCUGCUUGCUUCUCUCUCUCUCUCCGUUUGAUUUGAGGGGAAGCAUAUUGUGGAAGCU